UACGGGAGGCAGCAGUGAGGAAUAUUGGUCAAUGGGCGCGAGCCUGAACCAGCCAAGUAGCGUGCAGGAAGACGGCCCUAUGGGUUGUAAACUGCUUUUAUACAGGGAUAAAGUGCGCCACGUGUGGUGUAUUGCAGGUACUGUAUGAAUAAGGACCGGCUAAUUCCGUGCCAGCAGCCGCGGUAAU
rnacentral:rRNA from 1 species